rnacentral:lncRNA from 1 species
AACGAGCUAUUUUCCAAAGAUGCUCCAGCCAAAUUUUCAAUAUAGCAACUGUCAGUGGUAGUGCUGAUGGUGCAGAGGGUGAGCUGAGGGAGAGCGGCCAUGCCGGCAUCCUUUACAACAUUGGGCUGCAAACUCAUGCUCUCCCUUUCUAAUCCUCAGAACCUGUGUGCAGUAUCCCCCCCUUAUUCACGGUUUCUGGUUUUGCUUUCCGCGGUUUCAGUUAGCCGUGGUCACACAGUCCAGAAGCAGAUGCUCCGCCUUCUGAUGUAUGAUUAGAAGGUCAAUAGUCACCUAACACUAGGUCACAAGGCCACAUCAUCCCCUCGCUUCAUCUCAUCAUGUAGGCGCUGUAUCAUCUCACAUCAGCACAAGAAGAAGACAGAAGCUCCGAUGUUUGUGGAGACAUGGCUGUCCUGGAUCUCGCUCCCCGGUACAUAGUUGUAUAUUCUUCGUUGUGGGUCCUGCUACUUGUGGCAUGUGGGACGCUGCCUCAGCGUGGUUUGAUGAGCAGUGCCAUGUCCGCGCCCAGGAUUCGAACCAACGAAACACUGGGCCGCCUGCAGCGGAGCUCGUGAACUUAACCACUCGGCCACGGGGCCAGCCCUCAGAAGCAGUAAUUCUUAACUCACAGGAUUUUUUGCCAAGGUUAAAUUAAAUGAGAUAGUAAAUGCGUGUCGUGUAGAGCUUCCCACACAGUUGCUCCAUAAAUGGUAACUAUCGCCCCUCUUCAGACUUAGAGGAGGACUCAGAGGACCACCUUGGUCUACAGCCUGCUUUGUGUGGUGCACUCGUCUCCUGAUUUUUCCAGUUAGGGAAUAUCGAGCUAAACAAAUACGAUUUCCUACGUCUAUACCUGGCUUUAUGGGACAGGUCUUAUAAUUC